rnacentral:rRNA from 1 species
UACGAAGGGAGCUAGCGUUGUUCGGAAUCACUGGGCGUAAAGCGCACGUAGGCGGAUUUGUCAGUCAGGGGUGAAAUCCCGGGGCUCAACCUCGGAACUGCCUUUGAUACAGCAAGUCUUGAGUUCGAGAGAGGGUGGGUGGAAUUCCUAGUGUAGAGGUGAAAUUCGUAGAUAUUAGGAAGAACACCGGUGGCGAAGGCGGCCCACUGGCUCGAUACGUGACGCUGAGGUGCGAAAGCGUGGGGAGCAAACAGG